UCUCCCUUGCUGGGGCUUUGCAACUUGUCAUUGGAUUCAGCUAUUUCUAGUGUUUGGAGGACUCUUUAUCAUCUUUGUGUGUUCCCAAGUUGGUUCAGCCAUACAUGGUCUAACUAUUGUUGCCUUAUAGCUGUUAUUACAAAAAGUUUCUUUGAACAAUGAUUUCCUUCUCUCAGAGAUUCUAAAUUCAUAUGUUUGAUGACAGUUCCUGCUGUUCGGAGAGCCAAAGGGAUGUAGCUUUUGUUACUUGCGCAAUGUUUUACAACGGAUUCAGAUUGCAAGGUGCACAUUCAAGUACAGAGAGGUGCUGUCCGACCUUUGAUUAAGAUGCUUCAGUCUCCAGAUGUACAACUUAAUUAGGGAAAUGGCAGCCUUUGCAAUGGGGAGAUUGGCCUAGAUUAAUAUGUUUUCAUUUCUUGAUUUGGUCCUGUUCGAAUCAGGUUGAUAAAAUUGAUUUUAAACGACAUUGUUUUGGCAA